UUGUGCUUUUGCCCUGUCUCUGCUGAGCACUAGUCCAGUAAUUGAGUUAGGGCACCUGCUUCCUUCAUGACUAGCAGUGGGAAAGAAGACAACUGAUUUCAGAUGAGGUCUCCACAAGCCUCCACGGUUUCACACCAGGAGGAGGAUCCUCGGAAGUCCGUGGCUGUGGAUCGCAUAGAAACAUGUAGUAGCACUGUUCGAAAUGCACCUGCUACUCAGGAGGCAAGGGACAGCCAGCUGCAGGAAAGGUCAUCUCCACUGCCCAGCGCAAGAACAGAAGUCACGGACACAGCCGCCAAUGCAGCAAUGGAACGGCCAAGCAUUGACCCCUCAGAGGAUGCAGCUACAGACCCUGUUGCAGUUCUGCUUCCAAAGAAGCAGAUGACAACGGAAUAUGAAUGCGACUGCAGGCCCGAAAAAUAAACUCUGCUUUGUGACCCUGUUCCAUGUACAAGAAGCCUGGCUAAACAGUACCCUCAGUGUGUGCCUCCGGUGGUGUAUGGUGUGGCUGUCCAGGUUCUGGGCAUUCAGGCACAGGCAUGUCCUCUUCCAGACUUCCCUCCUCCUGCUCUGGCUGCGAAGGCGACUGCCGGGGCACCAACGGGCUUUGUGGUGGCUCCUGAGGAGCUUCCUCCUCCUGCUCCUCCUCCUCUUCCUCCUGCUGUAUCUGUCUUGCUCGUGCUGUUGACAGGUGAAUGGUCUAUCAUUAGCCAUUAUGACAGCUUGCAUAAAUUUCCGAUUCAAGACGGAUUUGCAUUGAUUUCAGCUCUACUUUGCAAACGGCUAAAAUUAGCAGUCUUAUGCUUAAUAAUAAAGAUNGCUAGUACCCACA
rnacentral:lncRNA from 1 species